rnacentral:rRNA from 1 species
AGGACGAACGCUGGCGGCGUGCUUAAAACAUGCAAGUCGAACGAGACCUUUGGUCUAGUGGCGAACGGCGGAGUAAUACAUAAGCAACCUGCCUCAAAGACCGGGAUAGCCCCUCGAAAGAGGGAUUAAUACCGGAUGUGGCCCCUGAUAGGCAUCUAUCGGGGAUUAAAACGAGCAAUCGGCUUUGAGAGGGGCUUGUGGCCUAUCAGCUUGUUGGUGGGGUAAUGGCCUACCAAGGCUUCGACGGGUAGCGGGUCUGAGAGGAUGAUCCGCCCGACUGGGACUGAGACACGGCCCAGACUCCUACGGGAGCAGCAGUUGGGAAUCUUGCACAAUGGGCGAAAGCCUGAUGCAGCGACGCCGCGUGGAGGACGAAGUCUUUCGGGAUGUAACUCCUUUUCCAGGAACGAUAAUGACGGUACCUGGUGAAUAAGCCCCGGCUAACUACGUGCCAGCAGCCGC